UACGAAGGGGGCUAGCGUUGCUCGGAUUUACUGGGCGUAAAGGGCGCGUAGGCGGACAGUUAAGUUGGGGGUGAAAGCCCGGGGCUCAACCUCGGAAUUGCCUUCAAUACUGGCUGUCUUGAGUGUGAGAGAGGUGUGUGGAACUCCGAGUGUAGAGGUGAAAUUCGUAGAUAUUCGGAAGAACACCAGUGGCGAAGGCGGCAUCCUGGCCCUGACCUGACGCUGAGGCGCGAGAGCGUGGGGAGCAAACGGG
rnacentral:rRNA from 1 species